AUUGAACGCUGGCGGCAGGCCUAACACAUGCAAGUCGAACGAGUGGCGGACGGGUGAGUAAUGCCUGGGAAACCGCCUGUUGGAGGGGGAUAACUACUGGAAACGGUAGCCAAUUCCGCAUACUAUCGGAUUUGCCCAGAUGGGAUUAGCUAGUGGGUGGGGUAAAGGCUCACCUGGGCGACGAUCCCUAGCUGGUCUGAGAGGUGGACCAGCCACACGGGAACUGGGACACGGUCCGAACCCCUACGGAGGGCAGCAGUGGGGAAUAUUGCAAAAUGGGCGAAAUCCUGAUGCAGCCAUGCCGGGUGGAUGAAGAAGGCCUUCGGGUUGUAAAGUACUUUCAGCGGGGAGGCGUUACCCGCAGAAGAAGCACCGGCUAACUCCGUGCCAGCAGCCGCGGUAAUAC
rnacentral:rRNA from 1 species